rnacentral:rRNA from 1 species
UACGGAGGGUGCAAGCGUUGUCCGGAUUUAUUGGGUUUAAAGGGUGCGUAGGCGGCCCUGUAAGUCCGUGGUGAAAGCCAACAGCUCAACUGUUGAACUGCCAUGGAUACUGCAGGGCUUGAGUACAGACGAGGGCGGCGGAAUGGAUGGUGUAGCGGUGAAAUGCAUAGAUACCAUCCAGAACCCCGAUUGCGAAGGCAGCUGCCUAGACUGUAACUGACGCUGAGGCACGAAAGCGUGGGGAGCGAACAGG